rnacentral:tRNA from 1 species
AGGCUUUUAGUCAAACAUUGACGUGCUGAUUUCGGCUUGGCAAGGAUGGUGGUAGUACCAUAAAAGCUUU